CAUCAAUUAAGGUCCCCAAGUUCAUGUUAACAGACUAAGGAUGUUGAGUUGCUUAGACAACUAGAAUGUUGGCUUAGAAGCAGCCAUUCAUUUAAAGAGUGCGUAAUAGCUCACUAGUCGAGCGACUCAGCGCCGAUAAUACUCGGGACUAAACAUGGCACCGAAAUUGUGGACUUCGUAAGGAGUGGUAGGGGAGCAUUCUAUUGGCGACUGCGGCGAACGCAGGUCCUUCGGGACGAAGGUGUCCGGCGACGGAUGCUGGAGUAAAUAGAAAAGAAAAUGUUGGCAUAAGUAACGAUAAACAAGAUGAAAAAUCUUGUCACCGCAAAUCCAAGGUUUCCUGAGCAAUGUUAAUCAUCUCAGGGUUAGUCGGUCCCUAAGCUGAGGCCAAACGGCGUAAGUAAUGGGAAACAGGUUAAAUAUUCCUGUACCUUCGACAUUUAAACCAAAAUGACGCAAAAGUGAAAGGAGAGCCACCUGAUGGAUGGUGGUCUAAGGUCGUAGGGACGAGCAAUCGUUUUGAAAGCUGAAGGGGAUGGCGCAAGCCUACAAACUCUCCCUAAUCAUGUUGCCAAGAAAAGCUUUGGUGUAUACUAAGAAGACCGUACCGUAAACCGACACAGGUAGAUGAGGAGAGUAUCCUAAGGUGCUCGAGUGAGCCGUAGUCAAGGAACUCGGCAAAUUAACCCCGUAACUUCGGGAAAAGGGGUGCCCUCCUAUGGAGGGUCGCAGAGAAAUGGGCCAAGCGACUGUUUAACAAAAACACAUGUCUAUGCAAAGCCUUUAAGGCGAAGUAUAUGGACUGACACCUGCCCGGUGCUGGAAGGUUAAGAGGAGAGGUUAGCUUUCGGGCGAGGCUUUGAAUCGAAGCCCCAGUAAACGGCGGCCGUAACUAUAACGGUCCUAAGGUAGCGAAAUUCCUUGUCGGGUAAGUUCCGACCUGCACGAAUGGUGUAACGAUUUGGCCACUGUCUCGACUACGGGCUCGGUGAACUUGUGGUACCGGUGAAGACGCCGGUUACCUGCAUAUGGACGAAAAGACCCCGUGCACCUUUACUGCACCUUAGCAUUGUGUUUGGACACAACAUGUGUAGAAUAGGUGGGAGACUAUGAAGCGGUGGCGCUAGCCAUCAUGGAGUCGCAAUGUGAAAUACCACCCUUGUUUUGUUCGAAUUCUAACCUGGGCUCUUGAAUCAGAGUCGGGGACAGUGCUAGGCGGGUAGUUUGACUGGGGCGGUCCCUCCUAAAAAGUAACGGAGGCUUUCAAAGGUACCCUCAGCAUGGUUGGUAAUCAUGCGUAGAGCGCAAAGGCAAAAGGGUGCUUAACUGUGAGACUUACAAGUCGAACAGGUGCGAAAGCAGGACUUAGUGAUCCGACGGUAGAGUGUGGAAUUGCCGUCGCUUAAAGGAUAAAAGGUACGC
rnacentral:rRNA from 1 species